GGUCAGCUGACACAUCCCUGCCAAUCUCCGGCAGACCCUCCCUCCCAGAUCCUCCCACCUCCUGGACAGCAUCCAUGUUGAAGCUGCCUUCAACAUGGAUGCUGUCCAGGAAGUAGGAGGGUCUGGGAGGGAGGGUCUGCCGGAGAUUGGCAGGGAUGUGUCAGCUG